rnacentral:rRNA from 1 species
CCUACGGGAGGCAGCAGUGGGGAAUAUUGCGCAAUGGGCGAAAGCCUGACGCAGCGACGCCGCGUGAGGGAUGAAGGUCUUCGGAUCGUACACCUCUGUCAGCAGGGAAGAACGGUCACUGUGCUAAUCAGCAGUGAAUUGACGGUACCUGCAAAGGACGCACCGGCUAACUCCGUGCCCGCAGCCGCGGUCAUACGGAGGGUGCGAGCGUUAAUUGGAAUUACUGGGCGUAAAGCGCGCGUAGGCGGUAUGUCAAGUCAAGGGUGAAAUCCCCGGGCUCAACGUGGGAACUGCCUUGGAAACUGGCAAACUGGAGUGUGUGAGAGGAUAGUGGAAUUCGAGGUGUAGGGGUGAAAUGCGUAGAUAUCAGGAGGAACAUCAGUGGCGAAGGCGACUAUCUGGAACAUAACUGACGCUGAGGAGCGAAAGCGUGGGUAGCGAACAGGAUUAGAUACCCCUGUAGUC